rnacentral:rRNA from 1 species
AAUCCUACGGGACGCAGCAGUGGGGAAUAUUGCACAAUGGGGGAAACCCUGAUGCAGCAACGCCGCGUGAGUGAAGAAGUAUUUCGGUAUGUAAAGCUCUAUCAGCAGGGAAGAGAAUGACGGUACCUGACUAAGAAGCCCCGGCUAACUACGUGCCAGCAGCCGCGGUAAUACGUAGGGGGCAAGCGUUAUCCGGAUUUACUGGGUGUAAAGGGAGCGUAGACGGCAUGGCAAGUCUGAUGUGAAAACCCGGGGCUCAACCCCGGGACUGCAUUGGAAACUGUCAGGCUCGAGUGUCGGAGAGG